UCGUACUCAUAACCGCAUCAGGUC
rnacentral:siRNA from 1 species